GACCGAGCAUGCCGCGUGAGGUGUAGAAGGUUUUCGGAUCGUAAACCUCUGUUGUCAGAGAAGAACGUGUGUGAGAGUGGAAAGUUCACACAUUGACGGUAACUUACCAGAAAGGGACGGCUAAAUACGUGCCAGCAGCCGCGGUAAUA
rnacentral:rRNA from 1 species